rnacentral:lncRNA from 1 species
UAUUCUUUUUAGCUCACCUGGCCGAAAGGCCAAGUGAGCUUUUCUCAUCACUUGGCGUCCGGCGUCCGUCGUCGUCCGUCGUCGUCGUCGUCGUCGUCCUGCGUUAACUUUUACAAAAAUCUUCUCCUCCGAAACUACUGGGCCAAAUUUAACCAAACUUGGCCACAAUCAUCAUUGGGGUAUCUAGUUUAAAAAAUGUGUCCGGUGACCCGGCCAACCAACCAAGAUGGCCGCCAUGGCUAAAAAAUAGAACAUAGGGGUAAAAUGCAGUUUUUGGCUUAUAACUCAAAAACCAAAGCAUUUAGAGCAAAUCUGACAGGGGUAUUAUUGUUCAUCAGGUCAAGAUCUAUCUGCCCUGAAAUUUUCAGAUGAAUCGGACAUUUCGUUGUUGGGUUGCUGCCCCUGAAAUGGUAAUUUUAAGGAAAUUUUGCUGUUUUUGGUUAUUAUCUUGAAUAUUAUUAUAGAUAGAGAUAAACUAUAAACAGCAAAAAUGUUCAGCAAAGUAAGAUCUACAAAUAAGUCAAACAUGACCAAAAUGGUCAGUUGACCACUUUAGGAGUUAUUGCCCUUUAUAGUCAAUUUUUAACCAUUUUUCGUAAAUCUUAGUAAUCUUUUAGAAAAAUCUUCUCCUCUGAAACUACUGGGCCAAAUUUAACCAAACUUGGCC